rnacentral:lncRNA from 1 species
UUUGUCGUUUGUCGAUAAUUCGAUAAAUGAGUUGAAGCAUUAUACUUUGUCGUUUGUCGAUAAUUCGAUAAAUGAGUUGAAGUAUUAUACUUUGUCCUUUGUCGUUAAUACGAUAAAUGAGUUGAAGUAUUGCACUUUGUCAUUCAUUGUGAGAAUUUGAUCUCGUGAGUUAUCGUAAAAGCUGUAUUGAUCAUUAACCCGGUUUUGUGUGCAUCCUUUCCUAAAUUAGGAUUAUUAGUCUUAGUACACUUACAAUCAAAGUAGAUGCUAAAUUCUCAGAAGAAUCUGAACCAUGAAGCUUGUUAAUUCAAAUACUGCAUGCUGAUUUGUAAUUACAAUAGAUUGGAGUAAGGGUUGGAUCCGACACUGAAGGACUUCAAGAAGUGGCUUAUUUUCAAAUUAAGAAAUAUUAUUUUUAUUAAAGCUACCUCUGUAAAACAUGGAAUUUAUUCCAUCUUUUGAAAUAAAAUCCG